ACCGGGGUGGACGAGGCAGAGGGUGAACUCCGCGGCGGGGCAAAGGCGCUGGCAGCCCCGGCCCCGCCGUCGUAACUUUCGUCUUCCAGCAGCUGCCGAGUGCGGGCUGCCAAUAAGGCGUGAUUGAGAGGCAGGAUAGGCACGUGGAUGAAAUCCAUCACCGUGGUGGCCAGCGGGGAGCGCCCGGGCGCCAUCGGCGCGUCCUGCUCCACCAGGGCGACCCUGGGCGCUGAGAAGCGGGAAUCUUCCUUGGGGACCAGGGCGACGCCUCCUGCUGCCGCCCCCGGCGGGACAGCCGCGGCUCCUCCUCCAGCCGCCGCGCCACCCAGAGCCCGAGGUUUGCCCUUCAGAAGCGGACCCGCAGACUCCUCGGACUCGGAGCCAUCCUCCUCCUCAACCUCCACCGCAGCUGGCUGCGGAGACGGCUUCACUGGGGCCCCGGACCAAUGAGGGCUCCCAGAGACCGGGAGCAGCAGCUGCCGGGAUGGUGACAGGCCCCGGGGCAGCACCUUAUGGGCAGCUGCCGUCCCGGAGCUGUCUCCAGCCUUGCCCCCGGACCGGCUCAUGAGCGGGGACAACACCCCCUGGGUGGCGGGGGCAGCCGGUGGAUCUUCGGGAAGUUCGGGGCCAAACAGGCACCAAGAGCUGGUGACCUCGCAGGCGGGAGGGCUGGGUUGGCUCUGCCCGGGACCUGAGGGCGCCAACAGAGUUUCCAAGACACUGUCAAGCAGUCCGCUGUCCUUUUCUGGGGGACUAGAACUGCUGCCUCCAGCACCCCUUGUAGCUUCAGCUCUGGAAUAUGCGCCCUCCACGUCCGACAGCGACUGCUGGUCCUGCGUCUUUUCGUCGGAGGGGUCCUGUCCCUGGCAGGGCCGAGGGAAGAGUAGCCCGUCCAGGGAGAUAGGACCUCAAGGUCCAGCUGUGCUAAUGACUCAUAGUUUAUCUCAACCAUGUAUAAAGAAUACAGAAGGAGACUCCAGGAGGUGGGGGAGCCACUAGAGGAUUCCAUCCAGGACACCACAUUUAAUUGUUAUGAUGUCUUGUGCUCCUCUUGGCUGUGAGAGUUUCUCAGAUUUUCCUUGUAUUUGAUGACCUUGACAGUCCUUAGGAGUACUGAGAUGGUUUCACGAUGUUGCCCAGGCUGGUCCCAAACUCCUGGCCUCAAGCUAUCCUCCUGCCUUGACGUUCGAAAGCACUGAGAUUUUCCUCUCUGUCCUGCCGCCAUGUGAAGAAAGAUGUGUUUGCUUCCCCUUCCACCGUGAUUGUAAUUUUCCUGCAGCCUCCCCAGCCAAGCUGAACUUUUUCGUCUUUACCAAUGAAGUGCAAGACUUUGGAAUGAACAACAAGUAUUUGGGUAGAAUGAUAACUCAAAGUGAAGACUCAAAGUGAAACAGUCAAUUGGAGGAGCCUGCCUGAGAGACUAGAGUAUAAAACCUGUUUUAAUAUGGAAAAACAAAAAUGCAGAGACCACAUUGAAAAGCAGCGAAUGGGAAAGGGAAAGGAAGAGAACAAGAGAAGGAAGUAGGCUUUCAAGGACUCCUUCAUAGUAAUAAAUCUAAAUCACUUGGACCUCUUUCUUUUUCAGUGACUUUUAUUUCUGCCUGUAGAAAUUGUUAUAUGUAGGAAGCAGUUUAGAAUGAGGAAUAAUAUUAUGUUUCCUAUUUUUAAAGAUUUGUUGUAUUGAUGAAAUUGAACUUUCAUAAUAAUUGAUAAGGUGAGAAGAUAAUGACUUCUUCUAAACUCAGAUAUUGCCAUAUUUAAAAAUGAGCUAGUAUUACAAAAAAUAAACAAACAGAAAGCAUCUUUGUAAAUAAUUGGCUUGGCAAUGAAGUUGGAAGAUUUUGCAAUUAAUUUUAAUUGAUCAAUCUGAUAUUGUAUUUUGUAUUCAUCUUAUAAUUUGCUGCUAAUAUGGGUACAUUCUGUUUCUCAACAUUAAUAAUAUGUGCAUAUUUAUAUACAUGAAAAAUUAGUAUAGACAAGCAUUAUGAGAAUCCUGCACAAUACAGAAAAGUUCAAUAAGUAUGUUGACUAUGUAAUACAUUUUAAAGUACAUUAGCCUCAAUUAAAUAAAAUGUCUAUAGCC